CGCCGCCCGCGAGGAGCGGGUCCCGCCGCCGGGCGUCCGGGCGUCCCCGCGAGUCCGAGUCGGAGCCGAGUCAGAGCGCGAGCGGGAGCCGGGCCGGGCGCGGUGGGCGCCGCCCGCCAUGGACCACAAGCCCCUGCUGCAGGAGCGGCCGCCCGCCUACAACCUGGAGGCCGGCCAGGGCGACUUCGCGUGCGGCCCGCACGGCUACGGCGCUAUCCCCGCCGCCGCCCCGCCGCCGCCCUACCCCUACCUCGUCACAGGGUUACCCACGCACCACCCCAGGGUCUACAACAUCCACAGUCGAAAUGUCACCCGGUACCCUGCCAAUUCCAUCGUUGUCGUUGGAGGCUGCCCUGUCUGCAGGCGGCCAGAGGAGGGUCGUGGGCAUAAAGGAUCCUUACCGUGUUUGAGGACGAUAAGUGGCUUCAGGAAGCCCAAGGACUUUGGGUCGGGGUUCUGGAGGACUCCUUCACCUUCCUGGGCAUCUUCCUGGCCAUCGUCUUGUUCCCCUUUGGGUUCAUCUGCUGCUUUGCCUUGAGGAAGCGAAGAUGCCCCAACUGUGGAGCAAACUUUUCUUAACGGGAACAGCGCGCCCGGCUCCCUUUUUCUCAUGUAAACGUCGUGUACAGUAGCUUCACGGGAUGCAGCUUCAGGACUGCUUUGUAAAGGGCGGUGGGUGGACUGGGCGCUGCCAGCAGGAGCCGAGGGCAUGGGUCGGGAGUGCGGACGCGCAGGGCACCGCUCCCAGGUCAACGACAGCUCAGUAAAGCACUGCUUUUAUUUUUCGCAGUCUUCAGUUUGAGAAAGAGCACGCACCCCAGUGCCCAGGACCUAAGGCAAGGCCUCCCGUGCUGUGUGACGCAGGUGCAGAAAGCCAGUCACAGAAGCAUCUACUAUCCCUUAUUCUGGCUAUUAAAAAAAAAAAUCAUAGAAUAUUAAAAAAAAAAAGAUACAAUAGAAUUGGAACCAAAUUUACAGUUCUUGAACAGAAUAGGAAGAAAAUACUUUAAGUGAUUGAGUUGUAUCUAAACUAUGACGGAGUUAUCUUAAAGACAAAUGUGUAAACCCAACUACGUUAAAUUAGAAAAUGCACUGAUUUGCUCAAGUGGAAUACAUGUAAAAUCAGGCACCCUCCAGUGAAGCUUUACAACAGGACAGCACUUAUCACACACGUAUACCUAUCAUCUCCCAAGCGAGAACCGAACGGGGAACCAGAAGAAUCUGGGGCCACCUUUUCAUCAAAUGACUGGUGCUGAGCGAUCGUUUGUCACCGUUGGUCGGAGUUUCACAGUAGCAAAGGGAUUUUCUCUGCUG